CCAAUCAAUUUCCUUAUACUUAUGGUUAUGCGCUUAUUCAAAAGUGUGUGUUCCCCGCUAUAUAAUGUGUAAAACUGUGCAAGCGUUCGCAAUCGUCGCAAUGUGCUAAGUUCGAGUCGCCAUUGAGUCCGUAGGAUCUCUUCUAAUUGUGCGCAUUGGUGGAGUUCUCCCUGCGAGGGACGACUUUCCUAAGAGUAGUGUGACUUUAGGUGAUUAAAGUGAUGAGAAUGACGAUAAAGAAACUGGUAGUGAGAUAUUAGACUUCUUUAAAUCAUUAUUUGGCACACCUGCUGUUUGAGUCAAAAACAGGAAUAAUGAUUCCCGGCACUGUUCUCUUGCAUUGAGCCAAUAUAUUUGCUGCUUGUCUCAUAUUUAAAGAUGUUUUUUAUUGUCCUGGAUGAUAUCCUAACAUUGUUAUUACAAGAGCUACAUACUCUACGCAUUCUCAAACAGUUCUCUUUAUCUUCUGUCUAUUCGCACCACACAAGUCUGAACAAGUAUGUAACUCGGGAUUUCCUUUGGGUUAAAGGUUAAAGGAACAGUAUACGACGAAAAUCACUCAGUGCAAUUAUUCACAUUUGCAGAUUGCGAAAGAAAAAAUCUUUGAUAUAUAUUAAUAAAGCAAUUAUAUAAGCUGUAAAUUUUACGACUUUCAGAGCUAAUGGACACGAAAAUCUUCCUUGUGAUGCACGAACAUUAUUGGAAACUCCAACAACAUCAACGAUUAGUCAAUCUGGCACUUUUUAUUAUCAUGGAUUACAAAAUCACUGAAAGCUCAUUUACAACAAACUAGAUCUCUCUAUAAACAUCCAGAAAAUCCAAUUCAAAUCUACUUAUUGACGAAUUACCCUUAGCAAAAAGUUCAAAAUCACAAUUUUGGCCACUUUUGGGACAAAUUAUUCACGCAGAUUAUCGGGAAAAACCAUUUGUCAUUGGAGCAUUCCAUGGAUACCGUAAACCGACCAAACCUGAUGAAAUCAUCAAUUUUUUGAAGAAUAUAAUGAAAUUCAAGAAAAAGGAUUUCAGUAUGGAGGAAAGAAAUACAAGAUUUUGAUAAAUGCUAUAAUAUGUGACGCUCAAUGCAAAAGCAUUCAUGAAAUGCAUUAAAGGCCAUACAGGAUAUUAUGGAUGUGACAAAUGUGAAGAGGAAGGUGAAUGGAGAGAUAAUCGAAUGUUAUUUCUUAAUGAAAAUGCUCUAUUACGCACGAAUGAGAAAUUUUUAUUACGACAUAAUGUGAUCAUCACUUGAAUAAUUCACCUUUGGAAAAAAUAAGAUUGAAAAUGAUAACACAGUUUCCCUUAAAUUAUAUGCAUCUCAUUUGUCUUGAUGUCGAAUGAAAAGACUUACAAAAUUGUGAAUCCGAGGAAUAAAGGGUGUUAAAUUAUGUGCUUCUCAAAUUCAGCAGUUAUCUACAGAUUUGAAGCUGUUAAUACCAUAUAAACCCAUGGAAUUUUCCAGGAAACCAAGAGGUUUAGAUGAAUUGGAUCGCUGGAAAGCGACGGAAUUUAGGCUAUUUCUCUUAUAUACGGGUUUGGUUACUUUGUGGUCAUAUUUGCCAAAUGAUUACGUAAAACAUUUUUAUGUCCUACAUUGUGUAAUUUCCUUUUUUUGCCGAAUCCUGCCGAUUGGAUUUACAAUAAUGAAUAUGCACAUAAAUUGCUAAGUAAAUUUUAUACAAGCAGUUAAAAUAUUAUAUUCUGAAUCUUACAUUACGUACAACAUGCAUAAUUUGAUUCACUUGCAUGAGGAUGUCAAGAAUUAUGGCUGUUUGGAUAUGUUCAGUGCUUUUCCUUUUGAAAAUUAUUUUCAAGAAUUGAAACAAAUGCUGAGAAAAAGUGCACAACCAUUACAACAGUUACACAGACGAUUAAUGGAAAAAUCUAAAAAUGCAAUAAAUAUUGAAUAUGAACCUGAACAAUAUCCUAUUUUUUAAAAAGUCAAUAAUGUUGAAUUACCUUUUGGAUGUACACAUUCUCAUCGAGCAGCAAAAUUUAAGAAUUUUACAUUAUCUUGUAUCAAAGAAGCUGAUUCUUAUUGUUACAUGGAUAAAGAUGUUCUUAAGAUUAAUUAUAUUGGCAAAAAAAAAAAGGAGAAUCAAUAAGAAAAUAAGAUAUAUAUAUAAUAAUGUAAUAAGAAAAAUAUUGAAAAAUUCUUGCAAUAUUAUUUCAUAUCCAUGCGAUUCACGAUAUUUAAGAAUUCAUGUCGGAGAUGAAUGGUCUGAAGCUGGAAUACAUUCAAUUAGCAAAAUAAGUGCCAAGGCAAUUUGACUUUCUUAUAAAAACACAUUUUGUAUAAUUCCUAUUCUGCACACAAAUGAUUAAACUGUAUAAUAUCAUAUUUUGGGAUCAGUAUCGCCAAAUCAUUCCUCACAAUUGGAUGAACUUAAAGGAAAAAACAUUUAAAUGUCCUCCAUCAAAAUAUAACACGACUAAUGCAAUAAAAAAAAAUCAAUCCUGGAAGUGACUGGAAACUUUACAAUUAUCAUAAAAUUUUGGGACCAUACGAUACGUAUGACAAGGUUCGAGAAAAAAAUGUAUUGAUAUUUCUACUUCAGAUGAAAAUCAACUAGCUGUUUUAAAUGAAGUUCGACAACUUUGAAACGUUUGAUAACGCCGAAAACAUUUUAUGACGAUUCUGACAAUUUUGACGCGUCUAAUGCAAGUAUUUCUAAAAAACGUAAAAUUGAACAGUCCAUCAAAUUAUAAAACGCAUGAUAAUAAAGUUAAAAUUAUAAAUAUUGAAAGAUGUUCUAUUGAAUCAGCAAACCCAGAGUCUGACAUAAAGCAUAAAAAGAAAACCUUAUGCUUUGCCAAAAAAAGCAAUCUUUUAACAAUAUUCCUCUAUCUUUAAAGCAUCAUCCAUUUUCAGUUGAAAUUUUUCAAGACAAAAAUAAUGAAGAUGAAGAUAUAAAUAAUAGUUUUGACUGUAUUCAAGGAAUUGAUAAUAACAAUGAACAUGAAGAAGUUGAUUUUAAUGAAAUCGAAAAUGAAGAAAUCAAUGAGGAAAAUGAAAAUUCAAAUAUAGAAGCAGAGGUGAAUGUAGAAAUGAAUGUUGACGAAGAUAUACAUACAACUACUACAUGCUGUACAUGAAAAAAUAAAUAUUUUACAAGAAGACUUCCAGCAAUUUAAAACAGAGAUGAGACACGAAGCAAAUAGAAAUAAAACAAAACUUCAAGAAAUACUUACCAUUUUAGAGAAGAGAACAAUUUCAAAGAAAAGAAGAAAAUGUAGAAAUAACGAUGAAUUUGAUGCCUGAUUUUCAAUUGACAUCCGUGGAGAAAUAUAUACGAUUCGAUGAAAGAAAAAUGAUGAAGCAAUUCGUAAAUGCUUUUACAAUAAAAUAAAGCAUAUUGGUGGUGACACAGUACAAAAAAUGAUUUCCAAUAUACUCACAACCUGCAUUACAUUUGAGGUAGGACACAAGUUAUCUUGGACUGGUGCAAAAAAUAGUGUUGCAAUCAAAAAUUCUACUUUUGCAAACAUUAUAGUUGGAGCUGUAACUCAUGCAAAAGAAAAAUCUGAUUGUACCAUUGCAUUAAUUGUUAAACAUAUAAGGAAUUGGUUGCAACAUGCAGGUGAUAAAAUGCGAUAUCGGAUGAAAAAGAUGUAAGAAGGAGGAAGAAAUAUCAAUGUUAAAUUCAGCGUUAAAUAUAUUAAAUAUAUAUAUAGUAAUUAUAUAUAUAAUAAUUCUAUUAAUAUGCAAUGUAUAUUUUCUAUGUAUAAUAUUUCUAUGUAUAGUUCUAAAUAUAUAGCCAUGUUUUCACAUAAAA